UUUGGACAUGGGGGCAACCCUGNUCCAGCAAUGCCGCGUGAGUGAGGAAGGCCUUAGGGUUGUAAAGCUCUUUCGCGCGCGACGAUGAUGACGGUAGCGCGAGAAGAAGCCCCGGCUAACUUCGUGCCAGCAGCCGCGGUAAUACGAAGGGGGCGAGCGUUGUUCGGAUUUACUGGGCGUAAAGGGCGCGCAGGCGGCUCUGUUUGUCAGGCGUGAAAGCCCCGGGCUCAACCUGGGAAUGGCGCUUGGGACGGCGGGGCUAGAGAUCGGGAGAGGAGCGUGGAAUUCCCAGUGUAGAGGUGAAAUUCGUAGAUAUUGGGAAGAACACCGGUGGCGAAGGCGGCGCUCUGGACCGAGACUGACGCUGAGGCGCGAAAGCGUGGGGAGCAAACAGGAUUAGAUACCCUGGUAGUCCACGCUGUAAACGAUGUGUGCUAGACGUUGGGGAGCCUAGCUCUUCGGUGUCGCAGCUAACGCGGUAAGCACACCGCCUGGGGAGUACGGCCGCAAGGUUAAAACUCAAAGAAAUUGACGGA
rnacentral:rRNA from 1 species